rnacentral:rRNA from 1 species
GCAGGUAGGCAGCAGCGCUAGGCAAAUCCGGCGCGGCCAUGCCGAGACGCGAAUACGAGCCCUUCGGGGCGAAGUGACCAAUGCCCGGCUCCCAGGAAAAGCCUCUAAGCUUCAGAUCCACAUUAUCCGUACCCCAAACCGACACAGGUGGGCAAGGUGAGAAUCCUCAGGCGCUGGAGAGAACUCGGGUGAAGGAACUCGGCAAACUAGCACCGUAACUUCGGGAGAAGGUGCGCCACAGUACGUGAAGUCCCUUGCGGAUGGAGCGGAAGUGGGCCGCAGUGACCAGGUGGCUGCGACUGUUUACUAAAACACAGCACUCUGCCAACACGAAAGUGGACGUAUAGGGUGUGACGCCUGCCGGUGCCGGAAGGUUAAGUGAUGGGGUCAGCGGCAAGCGAAGCUCUUGAUCGAAGCCCCGGUAAACGGCGGCCGUAAC